UACGUAGGGGGCAAGGCGUUGUCCGGAUUUAUUGGGCGUAAAGAGCUCGUAGGCUGUUCGAUAAGUCGGGUGUGAAACCUCCAGGCUCAACCUGGAGACGCCACCCGAUACUGUCAUGACUAGAGUCCGGUAGGGGAGCGUGGAAUUCCUGGUGUAGCGGUGAAACGCGCAGAUAUCAGGAGGAACACCAGCGGCCGAAGGGCGGC
rnacentral:rRNA from 1 species